rnacentral:rRNA from 1 species
AGAGUUUGAUCCUGGCUCAGAUUGAACGCUGGCGGCAGGCCUAACACAUGCAAGUCGAACGGUAACAGGAAGCAGCUUGCUGCUUCGCUGACGAGUGGCGGACGGGUGAGUAAUGUCUGGGAAGCUGCCUGAUGGAGGGGGAUAACUACUGGAAACGGUAGCUAAUACCGCAUAACGUCGCAAGACCAAAGAGGGGGACCUUCGGGCCUCUUGCCAUCGGAUGUGCCCAGAUGGGAUUAGCUUGUUGGUGGGGUAACGGCUCACCUAGGCGACGAUCCCUAGCUGGUCUGAGAGGAUGUCCAGCCACACUGGAACUGAGACACGGUCCAGACUCCUACGGGAGGCAGCAGUGGGGAAUAUUGCACA